GACGAACGCUGGCGGCGUGCCUAACACAUGCAAGUCGAACGGAGAUAUGCGCUGAAUAGAAGACAGCUUGCUGGAAGAAAUUCUUGUAUAUCUUAGUGGCGGACGGGUGAGUAACACGUGAGUAACCUGCCGAGAAGUGGGGAAUAACGUUCCGAAAGGGACACUAAUACCGCAUAAAGCUGAAUUACCGCAUGGUAGAUUAGCCAAAGGAUUAAUUCGCUUUUCGAUGGACUCGCGUCCGAUUAGAUAGUUGGUGAGGUAACGGCUCACCAAGUCGACGAUCGGUAGCCGGACUGAGAGGUUGAACGGCCACAUUGGGACUGAGACACGGCCCAGACUCCUACGGGAGGCAGCAGUGAGGAAUAUUGGGCAAUGGGGGAAACCCUGACCCAGCAACGCCGCGUGAGGGAAGACGGUUUUCGGAUUGUAAACCUCUGUCCUCUGUGAAGAUAAUGACGGUAGCAGAGGAGGAAGCUCCGGCUAACUACGUGCCAGCCGCCGCCGUAACAC
rnacentral:rRNA from 1 species